GCUGUUUUUUUUGUUUGUUUGUUUGUUUUUCCCCCCUCUGAGACUGUAUGAAACUUUAAGUUGUCUAAUGAAGAAGAGACUUUCUAGUAAUUUAGUAGAGAAGUUGAUUUGUAGUUGUUGUCAAUAAAUUUUGAAGAAGCUGAUUGGAACUGAAGAGUUGAGCAACCAAAACAACUGAGGAAAAUGCUGUCUGAAGUGUUUCAUACCAGUCAGGAGAUGCCAAGGAAGGAAUGUGUCCUAAGCAGCCCUUGGAAGACAUGACAAGAGAUGGAGAAGAGGUCUCUGUCUCACUGCUGGAGGAUUCUCUUUUGAACAAGACAAUGAAGCCUACUGUAAUUCUGAGGAGGGAUUUAUAAUGUUGUGGAGUGUCUGGACUCAAUGGAUGGACAGCUGAGGGUUACGUGGAAAAGCGAGCAGCCUAACGUUGAAGGAACAUCGGAAGAAGAUCACAGUUAGUGGUAGACUCAGCUGGGAAUGAAAACUGAGAUAAGGGUGGAAGUAGUACUGAUCCAAUGUUUCUAGUAUAUGAGGUCAAAGAGGCAUCUUGGCCACCUUAUUGCACUUCUGAGGGGUCAAAGUGCAGUGAUUUAUAACCACCUUUAACCCAGCACUGCCUACUCAAGCCUGCUGUCUGGAAAAAAACAGUUCAAUCUUAGGGGAUUUACUAGUGAACAAAUUACUGAGUUAUGGAUUUUUGCAUCUCUGGCAGAGGUAGAGUCCUAGGGCACCUGUCUUGUUAUCUGAACUCUGUGUUCAGAAUCUUGACCAGCUACUAUUAAUGUUACAGGCAACACUAGCAAGCCAAUGCCCACCAGCCCAACGUGAGCAACUACUUUAACAAAAAGCACAAAAAAGCAACUUUUUUUUUUUAACAAAAAAGUUGUACCCACAGUGGAAAGAACUGCAAUGUUAGUAAACACAUGGAUAACUUACAUCAAAGGGUUUGGGACAUUGAACUGAACUUUCUGGGUGGAGCAUAAAUAGGAAAAAAUAAAACACCAUACUGAUGAAAAUCUCCUUGACAGCCAGUUGACUGCAGAUGGUCUGAUGCCCAGUACUAGGCAGUGCAGAUAACAGCGCCGCACCACCUACUGAAAGGGUUAACACAGGGUAGGAUUUCCUGCUGCAGAUGAUAAUCUAAUGCCCUUGAUGUUCUUGUUAAUAAAUCAGGUUUGAGCUGCUGUUCCCGAUUUUGAUGCUGUCCUUGGGAGAGGUUGUCACACAGUUGCUUAAGAGGGAGCAUAAUGGUUUAUGACUACAGCACCUGAAGUCCUCUCAUGGAAUGCGUUCCCAGGAGAUCCUAAUCAUACAAAACUAAUAUUGCUUGGCUAGUGAUAAUGUCAUGCUGCCAAGCUAAGUUACAUGGCUUGCUGUGGCAAACACCUGACUGAUUAAUUUUAAUUCAACAUAAAUAGAAAGAGUGUCAAGGAAAUAUCGUAAAUAAAAAAUGGCUCUACAUGUGAAGGUAUUAGUUGGAGGACUGAUGAGCCAGAAUGGCAUUGCCACGUUUCUCAGUAACCUCUGACAGUACUGAUGAGGUAACAAGUGAUCCUUGGCUCAGUUGUGGAAAAAGUGCACUGAGGACUGAGAAGCCCUGAACAGAAGGAAUUUCUCUUUUGAGAGACAAUAAAAAGAGAGAAAACAUAAGGAAGGAGUAAAAUGUGGAUACAGGGUCAUGAAGUGAGGUUCCCAAAGCUGCUGGAAAAACUUUGUGGCAGAGUAAGCACUGCAAGCUCUACCUUCCUCUGGUGAUUUCAGAGAGUACAGUGCAGUUUUUAUCCUUACACCACCCAGAGCUAUAAAAGAAAGUUUACUGCUUUCUGUUUUAACUGAUGAAGGAGCUGAGAUGGGCUGAAGGGAAACACCACUGUGAAGGGAAUGGGGUGAAGUAUGGUCUGCUUCAUUCCCACAGUUUGUUCUCAUCUCCCUUACAGAGGUGACUCCUUGUUGAUGGAGGCAGUAUGUGGCACUCCUGCUGGGUGCACUCUGCUAUGAUCAGCUGCAGGUUGAUAUUACUGAUGAAAUUAGCUAACAAACUACUAUUCCUGUAGCAAGGCUUUUUAAUAAUUUGCAGCCUGAAAAUAAGGUAAGGUGUGUGUGUGUGUCAAAAUAUAUGUGAAUGAAACGAAUCAUUUAAGCUCCUCUCAAGUUGCCGGUUCAAAUCUACUCACUCUGGCCAGAUCUUUUUAUAUUCGUAAUCUGGUUGCUCACUUUGGACUCAAUCCACAGACUUUCCUGUUUGUCUUUUUGGGGGUUAUAUGUAAACAGCUAAUCAUGUUACAGUCAAUAAAUGACUCGGAGUUGCA